rnacentral:tRNA from 1 species
GGGGUUGUGGCUCAGUGGUAGAGUGCUCACCUAGCACAUGUGAGGCACUGAGUUCAAACCUCAGCACCA